GCUUAAAAUCGUCAUCUUUCCUCCUGGUGACACAGUGGUCUUUGUUGGAACGUGCUUGGUUUAUCAGCUUCAGGAAGAUGUUAAGAAUAAGUAGUCACAGAUUCUCCAGAUUCUGUUUAGAUUUGGAUUGGCUAAUCGGAAAAAGACGAGCCAAAAAGUUAAAGUUGGGAGCCAAUGAGAUUGCUGGAAACCCAACACCGAGCCAAUGAGAGGAGAGAUAGGUUGUUCGGAG